UGGGGAAUAUUGCACAAUGGGCGAAAGCCUGAUGCUGCGACGCCGCGUGAGGGAUGACGGCCUUCGGGUUGUAAACCUCUUUCAGCAGGGACGAAGCGAGAGUGACGGUACCUGCAGAAGAAGCGCCGGCCAACUACGUGCCAGCAGCCGCGGUAAUACGUAGGAUGCAAGCGUUGUCCGGAAUUAUUGGGCGUAAAGGGUGCGCAGGCGGUUUUUCAAGUCAGAUGUGAAAUAUCCCGGCUUAACUGGGAGGGGCCAUUUGAAACUGAAAGACUAGAGUGCAGGAGAGGAUAGCGGAAUUCCCGGUGUAGUGGUGAAAUGCGUAGAUAUCGGGAGGAACACCAGUGGCGAAGGCGGCUAUCUGGCCUGCAACUGACGCUGAGGCACGAAGGCUAGGGGAGCGAACAGGAUUAGAUACC
rnacentral:rRNA from 1 species